GAUGAACGCUGGCGGCGUGCCUAAUACAUGCAAGUCGAGCGAACAGAUGAGGAGCUUGCUCCUCUGACGUUAGCGGCGGACGGGUGAGUAACACGUGGAUAACCUACCUAUAAGACUGGGAUAACUUCGGGAAACCGGAGCUAAUACCGGAUAAUAUAUUGAACCGCAUGGUUCAAUAGUGAAAGACGGUUUUGCUGUCACUUAUAGAUGGAUCCGCGCCGCAUUAGCUAGUUGGUAAGGUAACGGCUUACCAAGGCAACGAUGCGUUGCCGACCUGAGAGGGUGAUCGGCCACACUGGAACGUAGACACGGUCCAGACUCCUACGGGAGGCAGCAGUAGCGAAUCUUCCGCAAUGGGCGAAAGCUUGACGGAGCAACGCCGCGUGAGUGAUGAAGGUCUUCGGAUCGUAAAACUCUCUUAUUAGGGAAGAACAAAUGUGUAAGUAACUAUGCACGUCUUGACGGUACCUAAUCAGAAAGCCACGGCUAACUACGUG
rnacentral:rRNA from 1 species